AAAGGUGACCAAAGAAAGAUGCUAAACUAUUUUUGCGAUGUGUUCCUAAUAUGUAAUAUAAAUGUAUUGGGGACAUUUUGCAUUCAUAGUUUUGUAUCAAUAAUAUGGGGAAAAGAG
rnacentral:precursor_RNA from 1 species